UACGUAGGGUGCAAGCGUUGUCCGGAAUUAUUGGGCGUAAAGAGCUCGUAGGCGGUCUGUUGCGUCGGCUGUGAAAACCCGGGGCUCAACUCCGGGCCUGCAGCCGAUACGGGCAGACUAGAGGUCGGUAGGGGAGUGUGGAAUUCCUGGUGGAGCGGUGAAAUGCGCAGAUAUCAGGAGGAACACCCGUAGCGAAGGCUGCACUCUGGGCCGAUACUGACACUGAGGAGCGAAAGCGUGGGGAGCGAACAGG
rnacentral:rRNA from 1 species